UUUCCCUUUGACUACCACAUAUUCCCCUAACUAUAGAUUGCAGUGGAUAUGCUGAAGGGACAGGUUAUAAUUGCCAUGAUCUGAAAGGGAGGAUUUAUUUGUGUCCUCUACAUAUAUGAAAUGGUUGAACAAAAACAA